rnacentral:rRNA from 1 species
CCUACGGGAGGCAGCAGUGGGGAAUUUUCCGCAAUGGGCGUAAGCCUGACGGAGCAAUACCGCGUGAGGGAUGAAGGCUCGUGGGUCGUAAACCUCUUUUCCCAAGGAAGAAGUUCUGACGGUACUUGGGGAAUAAGCAUCGGCUAAUUCCGUGCCAGCAGCCGCGGUAAUACGGGAGAUGCGAGCGUUAUCCGGAAUCACUGGGCGUAAAGCGUCUGUAGGUUGUUUGUUAAGUCUGUUGUUAAAAACUGAAGCUCAACUUCAGGGGUGCGGCAGAAACUGGCAAACUUGAGUAUGGUAGGGGUAGGAGGAAUUUCUAGUGUAGCGGUGAAAUGCGUAGAUAUUAGGAAGAACACCAUUAGCGAAGGCGUCCUACUGGGCCAAAACUGACACUCAGAGACGAAAGCUAGGGGAGCAAACGGGAUUAGAUACCCCGGUAGUCCUAGCCGUAAACGAUGGAUACUAGAUGUCGCGGGUUUACCUGCGGUGUCGUAGCUAACGCGUUAAGUAUCCCGCCUGGGAAGUACGCACGCAAGUGUGAAACUCAAAGUAUAGUAGCGNGNGAGAGCGACGACGACGACGACGGAGGAG